UGAACGAAUGAAUGAAGUAUUUAACUUGGAGCCCCAGGCUCACUGCAGGCUGAAUUCAGCAGGUAGUGGGUAAGGACUAUACUUGUAUUGACUGACUGGUUAACUCUGUGGUUCACUUUCAUUCCAGAUCGUCUGUCAUUAGUGUGGAGUGUCUGAAUUUUACGAAGCCUGUUUUGUUCAUGAAGUGUUCUCCAAGAGAGUAACCAGGGCUUUGCCACCGAGCACUUCAAGACUGGAGAAAACUGUGUUAUAAGUUCCACUCAUCGCUGUGAAAACAAAAUGAAGAAAGCCUGUGGGAGUGUGUUAUAAGCAAAAAAAUCUUUAAACUGAAUCAACUUGGCUGAAAGAUAAAAGUCGGAGGUGGAAUUCAAGAGCCUCCUGGAAUGCAUGUUUGUCACAGGCCACCUGAAUGCUGCUGAUUUUCUGAGAAGUGAACUAUAAAGGACACCUGCUUGUUUACAGAUGGGCAAGAUGGCUUUGCACCUCUUUCCAUACCACCCCAUCUUGGAAGCUAAGUGGUCCAGAAGCUGGCUGA